rnacentral:rRNA from 1 species
UAGUUGGUGAGGUAAAGGCUCACCAAGGCGACGAUCUGUAGCGGGUCUGAGAGGAUGAUCCGCCACACUGGAACUGAGACACGGUCCAGACUCCUACGGGAGGCAGCAGUGGGGAAUUUUGGACAAUGGGGGCAACCCUGAUCCAGCCAUGCCGCGUGAGUGAAGAAGGCCUUCGGGUUGUAAAGCUCUUUCGGCCGGGAAGAAAUCGCACAGGCCAAUACCCUGUGUGGAUGACGGUACCGGAAUAAGAAGCACCGGCUAACUACGUGCCAGCAGCCGCGGUAAUACGUAGGGUGCGAGCGUUAAUCGGAAAUACUGGGCGUAAAGCGUGCGCAGGCGGUUUUGUAAGACAGGCGUGAAAUCCCCGGGCUCAACCUGGGAACUGCGCUUGUGACUGCAAGGCUAGAGUACGGCAGAGGGGGGUGGAAUUCCACGUGUAGCAGUGAAAUGCGUAGAGAUGUGGAGGAACACCGAUGGCGAAGGCAGCCCCCUGGGCCGAUACUGACGCUCAUGCACGAAAGCGUGGGUAGCAAACAGGAUUAGAUACCCUGGUAGUCCACGCCCUAAACGAUGUCAACUAGGUGUUGGGUGGGUAAAACCAUUUAGUACCGUAGCUAACGCGUGAAGUUGACCGCCUGGGGAGUACGGCCGCAAGGUUAAAACUCAAAGGAAUUGACGGGGACCCGCACAAGCGGUGGAUGAUGUGGAUUAAUUCGAUGCAACGCGAAAAACCUUACCUACCCUUGACAUGUCCGGAAUCCCUGAGAGAUUGGGGAGUGCCCGAAAGGGAAUCGGAACACAGGUGCUGCAUGGCUGUCGUCAGCUCGUGUCGUGAGAUGUUGGGUUAAGUCCCGCAACGAGCGCAACCCUUGUCGUUAAUUGCCAUCAUUUAGUUGGGCACUUUAGCGAGACUGCCGG